AGUGAACGCUGGCGGUAGGCCUAACACAUGCAAGUCGAACGGCAGCACAGUAAGAGCUUGCUCUUACGGGUGGCGAGUGGCGGACGGGUGAGGAAUACAUCGGAAUCUACUUUUUCGUGGGGGAUAACGUAGGGAAACUUACGCUAAUACCGCAUACGACCUACGGGUGAAAGCAGGGGAUCUUCGGACCUUGCGCGAUUGAAUGAGCCGAUGUCGGAUUAGCUAGUUGGCGGGGUAAAGGCCCACCAAGGCGACGAUCCGUAGCUGGUCUGAGAGGAUGAUCAGCCACACUGGAACUGAGACACGGUCCAGACUCCUACGGGAGGCAGCAGUGGGGAAUAUUGGACAAUGGGCGCAAGCCUGAUCCAGCCAUACCGAGUGGGUGAAGAAGGCCUUCUGGUUGUCAAGCCCUUUUGUUGGGAAAGAAAAGCAGCAGGUUAAUACCCCGCUGUUCUGACGGUACCCAAAGAAUAAGCACCGGCUAACUUCGUG
rnacentral:rRNA from 1 species